GACGAACGCUGGCGGCGUGCUUAACACAUGCAAGUCGAACGGAAAGGCCCUGCUUGCCGGGUACUCGAGUGGCGAACGGGUGAGUAACACGUGGGUGAUCUGCCCUGCACUUCGGGAUAAGCCUGGUAAACUGGGUCUAAUACCGGAUAGGAGCCAUUUUUAGUGUGAUGGUUGGAAAGUUUUUUCGGUGUAGGAUGAGCACGCGGCCUAUCAGCUUGUUGGUGGGGUAAUGGCCUACCAAGGCGGCGACGGGUAGCCGGCCUGAGAGGGUGGACGGCCACAUUGGGACUGAGAUACGGCCCAGACGCCGACGGGAGGCAGCAGGGGGGAAUAUUGCACAAGGGGCGCAAGCCGGAUGCAGCGACGCCGCGUGGGGGAGGACGGCCUUCGGGUUGGAAACGCAUUUCGCUAGGGACGAAGCUUUUUGUGACGGUACCUAGAGAAGAAGCACCGGCUAACUACGUG
rnacentral:rRNA from 1 species